AUUUGGUGAGCGAGUGCACGCUUUUCAAUAUUUAUCUUCAUUACGAACAGACUUUCGUAACUAUGGUAAUACUUGAUCCUUGUUUGCGCGCAUUCGCAAUGCAAGAACCACAAUCAUUGCUGAGCUUGUUAAGAAGAUUUGGGGAUACUGUCCACCAGUGCUAGUGGAAACUUUUACCGAAGAAAGUAGAAACAA